CUCUGUACAGACAGAAAGAACCCAGCCAAGGACUAAAUCCAGGAUUUCCAGCUUCUGCAUCCAAGACUGGUGUUAAAAUACCCACACCAUAUUAGGUACGCCAGACCUCUCUAUCACACCAAGAAACAAGCAGCAUGCUGUCACUUUAUGCAGCUGAGUUAUGGAAUAGAAAAUUUCGAGUUCUUGUGUCCAUAGCCAGUAUU
rnacentral:misc_RNA from 1 species